rnacentral:rRNA from 1 species
UACGGAGGAUGCGAGCGUUAUCCGGAUUUAUUGGGUUUAAAGGGUGCGUAGGCGGACUGUCAAGUCAGCGGUAAAAUUGAGAGGCUCAACCUCUUCCCGCCGUUGAAACUGGUGGUCUUGAGUGGAUUAGAAGUACGCGGAAUGCGUGGUGUAGCGGCGAAAUGCAUAGAUAUCACGCAGAACUCCGAUUGCGAAGGCAGCGUACCGGCAUCCAACUGACGCUGAGGCACGAAAGCGUGGGGAUCAAACAGG